GACAGAGGGUGCAAACGUUGCUCGGAAUUACUGGGCGUAAAGCGCACGUAGGCGGAUCGAUCAGUCAGGGGUGAAAUCCCAGAGCUCAACUCUGGAACUGCCUUUGAUACUGUCGAUCUGGAGUAUGGAAGAGGUGAGUGGAAUUCCGAGUGUAGAGGUGAAAUUCGUAGAUAUUCGGAGGAACACCAGUGGCGAAGGCGGCUCACUGGUCCAUUACUGACGCUGAGGUGCGAAAGCGUGGGGAGCAAACAGG
rnacentral:rRNA from 1 species